AUGUUGUUGAUGCCUCAAGGUUUUGUCGAGCGAACAAUUCUUCGGCCCGUUCUUAAACUUUUGAUGGAAAGUCUUUGUUUUACCUACAUUUCUAAAGAAAAGGAGUUUGUUUCAUGGCAGAUGAAGGACUAUGCAGUUCAAGAGUCUUGGACUGAAUUAUUUAAGAUUAUACUUCUCGGAACUCUCAAAUGGAUUCCUUUUAUGACGAUUUUCAAAUGGCGUACCUUUAUCAAAAUGAUGAUAUUGUGA